AUGAAAUCUCACCAAGGUUAUUUUUGGAGGGAUUUUCUUACCUUUCCCCUUAAAAUGGGUCUUCUUCGUACCAAAACAAAAAAAAUUUGUUACUAUAAACGUGCAACAAUUCUAUUUUUCAUGUUUUCCAAUGCAUAAUCGUUUGUUAUUUAUUAGCGUUUGAAGUUGUUUAAAUUUAUGUUUAAAAUAAAAUACAAUCCCCUUUAAUCUUAUUCGAAGUUUUCUUUCUAAACGUAGUUCGAAAAGACGUCACCAAUUUUUCUCCCUUUACCGGCACAACAGUUAGGUAUCAGCGAUCGAAGAAAUUCUCCGGUGAUUUAGGCUUUGGCGCGCAGCUUACCCAGUGUCCAUUAUCUAAAAUUUAUUAGAAUUUUACCUUGGAUUACUUCAUAUAUUUUUCUUAGGGUUUGUUGAUUUAUCAGUUUACCUGGUAAUUUGAAUCUUAUUUUCUUUCACUGUUUUAUAUGUUUAUUGUUGUUGUUUUAUGAUUAUUACUUUAUGAAAUCAUCUUGCUUCAUAGCCAAUUAUACAUAAUGUAGCAUAUUUUGGGGGAAUUUGGAAAAACUAAUGAUUUUUGUUUAAACAUAAUGUUCAAUUUUGGGAAAGUUUUUUCCAUCUAAUUUUGAUUUUUCUCAGUUAGAUUAAAUUAUCCUGCUGUAAUUCGAAGAAAUUUGAAAAUUUUAGUGAAUGUUCGUUUCAAAUUUGCCAAUACAUGUGUGUUUUGUUUGAUAAUUAUAAACUUAUUUUGGGUAAGUUUUGUACUUUUAAUUUUGCUUUCCUGCAUCAAUGGUUAGAUUUUCGUGGUGUUAUUUUGAAGGAAAGUGAAAAUUUAGCUGAAUGUUGGUCCUGAAAUUGGCCCUGGUAUAAAAUUAGACCCUUUUUGUACUGAGUAAUGAGAUGACUAGCAUAUCACUGCAUACAAGUACUUGGUUAUUAGUUUAACCCUGAUAAGGAAAAAAAAAAAGAAAGAUAUUGUUUCAUUUGUGUGAAAAUGGUUACCAUUGCAGUGAUAUUUAUGAACAUGAGUAGGCAAAGGUCCCUGGGCGGUGGGAGUCAGCUUGUAUUGGAUUACCUGAAGCGUAAACACACUGAGAAUCCUAAUUUCUACUACGCAAUUCAGGGCGAUCAUGAUCCAUUAACUGCCAAUAUUUUCUGGAUUGAUGCUACCUCCCGGAUUAACUAUACCUACUUUGGUGACACUGUGGUUUUCGACACCUCAUACUGUAGCGAUGGCUAUAAAGUACCCUUUGCAACAUUUACAGGAUUAAAUCAUCAUGGACAGCCCACACUUUUUGGCUGUGCUUUAAUGCUGGAUGAAUCAGAGGCUGCCUACAUUUGGCUGUUCCAAACAUGGCUUCAUGCGAUGUCAGGUCAAAGCCCAGUCUCGAUCACAACAGAGCCUGCUAGGUUUGUGCAGAUGGCAGUAUCUCAAGUUUUGCCCAAUACCCGUCUUCGUUAUUGUAAAUGGAACAUGUUUAGAGAGACAGAAACCCAUUUGGGUCAUGUGUAUCAGUCACAUCAUACAAUUGAGGUAGAGUUCAGGAAGUGUGUUGAUGAGAGUGAGACGAUUGGGGAAUUUGAAUCAAGGUGGGGAACACUUUUGGAGCAGUAUUAUCUGAUGGAUGAUGAAUGGAUGCGGUCAGUUUAUGAUGCUCGGCGUAUGUGGGUGCCUGUUUACAUGCGGGACACUUUCUUCGGCGAGCUCUAUAGUGAUGAAAAUGAGGGUAGAAAUAUAUACUUUGAUGGUUUUAUAACUUCUGACACCACAUUACAAGGGCUGAUCAAAGAUUAUGAAAAAGCUGUUGGGAGUUGGCAUGAGAAGGAACUACAGGCAGAUGAUGAUACGAGUAACACAAUGCCUAUGCUGAAGACCCCAUCACCAAUGGAGAAACAGGCUGCUAAUGUUUACACCAAGAAAAUAUUUAUGAAGUUCCAAGAGGAGCUUGUUGAGACCCUCGCUAAUACUGCUACAGAACUAGAGGAAUCAGGAGGAGUCACCAUGCUUCGUGUAGCUAAGUUUGGGGAAGAUCAUAGAGCUCAUAUUGUUACUUACAAUUCUCUAGAAACAAAUGCUAGCUGUAGCUGCCAAAUGUUUGAAUUUUCAGGUGUCAUAUGUAGGCACAUAUUAGCAGUUUUCAGAGCAAAAAAUGUUCUUACUCUUCCUUCAGAUUACUUAUUGAAAAGAUGGACAAGAAAUGCCAAAAGCGGAGGUUCAUUGGACGAACAUGCUGUCAGGGAACUAACCAAUUCCCGAGAGUCUCUGACUAUUAGAUAUGACAACCUACGGCAAGAAGUUAUUAAAUUUGUGGAAGAAGGUGCAAAAUCUAUUCAGGUUUACAAUGUAGCUAUGAGUGCCCUGGAGGAAGCUGCAAAAAAGGUUGCUUCUGUGAAGAACCAAGGUCAUGGAGUUUCACAAGGUCGCUCUCUGGCAAAUGGUGACAGUUCAGUGGCAUCCGUCCAACCUGCAGAAGAGAAGGUUAAGAAAAUCCAAGAGUUGACAGCUGAGUUGGAUAUUACAAACAAGCGGUGUGAGGUCUAUCGUGCAAACUUGCUAGCAGUUCUGAAAGAUAUGGAGGACCAGAAGUUGAACCUUUCUGUUAAAGUCCAGAAUGCAAGACUUAGUUUGAAAGAGUGAGUUGCCAAAAAACAAGCCAAGAAUUUCCUGUAACUUGCUAAAGGUUCAACUAGCCUUUAGUCUCUGGCCAUCAUUGCUUGCUAAAGGUGCCCUCAGAGAACAAGUAUCCCGGAGCUUCAUACUUUCACUCUAUUUCUUCCCACACAAGGUUUUGAAAGUUAGGAUAUGAGAGUUUGACCACAAACAAGUUCAAAUCAAUAAAGGUGAAGUAUCUUAUUAGCCUUAAAAAGUUAUAAGGUAAUCUUUUGUAUUUUGAUCCCCACUUGUCCGAUUGUUUUGUUUAUUUUAGAGUUUGUCUGUAAAGGGGGCCACUUUCCAAAUACUUUUGAAGACCCUGAAAUCCUACAUCAGGGAUAAGAGUAUGUACUGUACAAUGUACACUGCCUGGUGGAACUUUUUACAUUCUGACAAAUAUGUAUAAUAGCAUAGGUUGCAUUUUGUUAGUUCUAGCAUAGCAUAUCCGUCUCAAGUUCAUAAGGUGUUUGUAUCAAUGUGUUCCCAAGACAUGAUCAAGUCACUUUUGCCACAGAAUAGGGCUUGGAAUGUUAUGCUAAUUUGGUUGAGUUUUGCUGAGUUUCUUAUGCUGUAAACAAAAAAUAAAGUAUCUGGACAGAUUACAUGCCUGCAUAGUGAACUUCCACUUUAAUUCAUGAAAAGUUAUUUGAUAUGUUUUAUUUGGUUCUGUAUCAAGUUUACGAGCUGUAUUAUUGAAAUGUUUUAUUUGGUUCUGUAUUUAGUUUACGAGCUGUAUUAUUAUGUCUUUAUUUUCUUACUAUCAACUAAGGGUUUUUUACUAAUGUUUUAAUUCUAUGCAGGUCCUGCAACUUUAGUUGUGUGGGUGGGGUUUGGAAUAUAAAGCAAAUUUUCUAGUUGGAAAUUGUUGAGACAG